CAGUAGCCGCGGGAAUACGAAGGGGGCUAGCGUUGCUCGGAAUCACUGGGCGUAAAGGGUGCGUAGGCGGGUCUUUAAGUCAGGGGUGAAAUCCUGGAGCUCAACUCCAGAACUGCCUUUGAUACUGAAGAUCUUGAGUUCGGGAGAGGUGAGUGGAACUGCGAGUGUAGAGGUGAAAUUCGUAGAUAUUCGCAAGAACACCAGUGGCGAAGGCGGCUCACUGGCCCGAUACUGACGCUGACGCACGAAAGCGUGGGGAGCAAACAGGAUUAGAUACCCGCGUAGUCCCUGUCUCUUAUAC
rnacentral:rRNA from 1 species